rnacentral:piRNA from 1 species
CUACCGACGACAUGUUACCUUGG